UACGGGGGGAGCAAGCGUUGUUCGGAUUUAUUGGGCGUAAAGAGCGUGUAGGCGGCCAGACAGGUCAGCUGUGAAAACUCGAGGCUCAACCUCGAGACGUCGGUUGAAACCGUCUGGCUAGAGUCCGGAAGAGGAGAGUGGAAUUCCCGGUGUAGCGGUGAAAUGCGCAGAUAUCGGGAAGAACACCCGUGGCGAAGGCGGCUCUCUGGGACGGUACUGACGCUGAGGUGCGAAAGCGUGGGGAGCAAACAGG
rnacentral:rRNA from 1 species